rnacentral:rRNA from 1 species
GCAUAACGCGAAGAACCUUACCAGGCCUUGACAUCCAAUGAACUUUCUAGAGAUAGAUUGGUGCCUUCGGGAACAUUGAGACAGGUGCUGCAUGGCUGUCGUCAGCUCGCGUCGUGAGAUGUUGGGUUAAGUCCCGCAACGAGCGCAACCCUCGUCACUAGUUACUAACGGUUCGGCCGAGGACUCUAGUGAGACUGCCUUCGUAAGGAGGAGGAAGGUGAGGACGACGUCAAGUCAUCAUGGCCCUUACGGCCAGGGCGACACACGUGCUACAAUGGGAUGUACAAUGAGACGCAAUACCGCGAGGUGGAGCAAAUCUAUAAAACAUCUCUCAGUUCGGAUUGUAGUCUGCAACUCGACUACAUGAAGCUGGAAUCACUAGUAAUCGUAGAUCAGCCAUGCUACGGUGAAUACGUUCCCGGGUCUUGUACACACCG